rnacentral:rRNA from 1 species
UACGUAGGGUGCAAGCGUUAAUCGGAAUUACUGGGCGUAAAGCGUGCGCAGGCGGUUUUGUAAGUCUGUCGUGAAAGCCCCGGGCUCAACCUGGGAAUUGCGAUGGAGACUGCAAGGCUUGAAUCUGGCAGAGGGGGGUAGAAUUCCACGUGUAGCAGUGAAAUGCGUAGAGAUGUGGAGGAACACCGAUGGCGAAGGCAGCCCCCUGGGUCAACACUGACGCUGAGGCACGAAAGCGUGGGGAGCAAACAGG